rnacentral:rRNA from 1 species
UACGUAGGGUCCGAGCGUUGUCCGGAAUUACUGGGCGUAAAGAGCUCGUAGGUGGUUUGUCGCGUUGUUCGUGAAAACUCACAGCUCAACUGUGGGCGUGCGGGCGAUACGGGGCAGACUGGAGUACUGCAGGGGAGACUGGAAUUCCUGGUGUAGCGGUGGAAUGCGCAGAUAUCAGGAGGAACACCGGUGGCGAAGGCGGGUCUCUGGGCAGUAACUGACGCUGGAGGAGCGAAAGCGUGGGGAGCGAACAGG